GGACAGGACUCUGGAGAGACCCGUUUUUAGGGCGCCGAAGGGGCAAUACAAAUUGCUGUUAAAUCUCUCAGGCAAAAGGACAGAGGAGGAUUA
rnacentral:ncRNA from 2 species